CUUAUUUUCUGUCACAAGACAUUCCAGGUUCAUCUUGUACCUCCCCUGCACCAGCUCUAGAAUCAACCAUUUCUCCAAGGAGCCCUGGUUCCUUUUGGUGGAGUCGGGUAUUCAGAGUCCAAGACCUGGAUGUUCGGAAGGAAUUUUAAGUGAGGAGUAGCCAGCUACCUAAACAUCCAGCAUCCAAGAGUCAGACAUAAAAAAAGACUGACAUGCAAGAAAUUGUCUUGGAGUCUUUGACUUUCUGGUGUUCAACACGCAGGGCAGGAUCAGCUCUGGGCCACUUCUGGAAUGAAGAGGGGACACCUAUGUGAAGUCCAGGGAGGACAAGAGAGAGACAUUGGUGACGUCAUCGUUAGAAAACUCAGGCUGGAUGACAAAGCGACCCCAGGCAGGCCCCGCUUUGGACACGGAAGGCGAGAGGGACUUGUUGCUGGAGGUCACACUAAGCCCUCAAUCACAAACGGGUAUAGUUCUUCUCUGUUCGGCCUCUGAC